rnacentral:misc_RNA from 1 species
AGGAUCCUUCUUGCCAGCAUAGAGGUGCUUUCAUGUCUUUGAAAAUUGUUGUCUCUGUUAUCAAAUAAUAAACUAUGUUAUGGUAUGUUUUGUUUAAAAGAUAUGGUGAAGAAAUGACAUUCAUAUUUUUUUGUCAACUUUUUUCUGUCUGUGAAUAUUCAGUUUUUAGAAACUUAAGUUCACAAAACCUUUCGAGUUCUUUAUUUCUAUCUCUGUUUAUUCUCCCCCAAGAAAUGUGAUUUCCAUUGCUUUUUGUGAGAGCACUAUUGAAGUUUUGACUGUGCUUUCUUGAGUAAUAUGCUUUUCCUAGGUAGCUGUUCUUCAAAGUUUCAUGUUUUCUUAUUCAUUGGUGAAAUGAUGGCCAAUUCAAGGACUCACUAGAGGAUAUAUUACAAAUCCUUCAAUUCAUCUUAUGAACACUAAUGCAUACUUCUUUAAAAUUGUAAAAUCAUCCUGCUUCAGACUACUGUUUUGUGCAGACUCUAUAAUAGAUGUAAGGAGUCCUAAAGCCCAUGCAGCUUGGCUGAUAUUUCUGCUGGUAUGAUGUGUCAUUUUUAGUUUGCAUUUAACUCGUUAUAGAAUGCAUUUCUAGGGGUUUCAGAUGAGGCUUGGAUAGAUCUUACCUGACCAUUCUAUGUGCUGCUUGGAUUGUGA